UCGGGUGGGUUGCCGAUGCACGUCGCUGACCCGRGGUGGCGGGCGGCAUAAGAAAAGCGGCGCCGAGCAACAACGCCAGCGUCGCUGGACCGACCCCCGCGCGACCACCAYCCCCCGAGAGGAACGGCGGCCGAUGAGAGGAAGGACCAGCGGGCCAGCGAGGYGCGAAUCGACGCGGCCGCCCGGUUUCGAAAAGCUCUCGCACUCUUUACCCGCGCUGCGCCCGAGACGGUGGGGCGAAGUUUUGGUCGCGCGAGACUGCCGACGAGAAAAAACCGGUCUUCGCCAMUACGUGAACGGUACGUURCUUAGUUUWWWGUMUCCGUAACCCGGCAGAAGGGGGYAGUACGGUCGCGGGCCCGACAGAAGCAGGUCGUAACUCUUCGUGCUCAGUAC
rnacentral:rRNA from 1 species